UACGUAGGGUGCGAGCGUUGUCCGGAAUUAUUGGGCGUAAAGGGCUCGUAGGCGGUUUGUCGCGUCGGGGAGUGAAAACCCAGGGCUUAACCCUGGGCUGGCUUCCGAUACGGGCAGACUAGAGGUAUGCAGGGGAGAACGGAAUUCCUGGUGUAGCGGUGAAAUGCGCAGAUAUCAGGAGGAACACCGGUGGCGAAGGCGGGUCUCUGGGCCGAUACUGACGCUGAGGAGCGAAAGCGUGGGGAGCGAACAGG
rnacentral:rRNA from 1 species